AAAAUGUCUAAAAUCAAAGUUAAUUUGCACAGCACAGAGAAGACAAAAUGAACCCAAACUUUACAGUAUUAUUUUAUGAAGACUACUCCAAGAAACAGGGUCUCCAGUAAUCCUGUCUGGCUGUGAAGGAAAUUAACUAGGAGUGGGGUGCUGGGGAGGGAGGCUGAGAACCACAUUAUCUCCCAGGGAGAAUGAGAAGUCACAGACAUUUUUCAUAAAUCUUCUCUUACGGCAAUUUAAAAACCAGAAAGAGAUAAAUGAGUGACAGAUCCAACCGUGCCUGGCUUUGCCAUGACUAAUCCAUGGCUACCAUCCCUCUAAUCAGCAGGAAGUAGUCUUCUUUUUCUUUUAAUGAGGUCACAAUCAUUAGUCACUCCAGUAUUAUCAUCUGAUGUCAUUGUGAUUCUGUUUCAGGGAGAGAUUGGGUGUGGCACGUUCUCACUUUGCAUCAAACAUACAACCACCAGUGCUUUUGGGGGUGAACAUGCUUGAACUUAACUCCAAAUUCUAGCUUUCAGAUGGGCAGGAGCCCCUCCAUCCCAUGGUAGAGGAAACAGUUUUCUUCAUUGUGCACCCGGUCACAAGGAGGAGUCUCGCUUUGUCACCUAGGCUGGAGGUGCAGUGACAUUAUCACGGUUCACCUCAGCCUUGACCUCCCGGGCUCAAGUGAUCCUCUCGCCUCAGUCUCCGGAGUACCUAAGACUACAGGUAUGCACCACCACACCUGGCUAAUUUUUGUAUUUUUUGUACAGACCAGAGUUUCACUGUGUUGCUCAGGCUGCUCUCCAACUCCGGAGUUCAAUGGAUCCUCCCAUCUUGGCCUCCCAAAGUGAGCCACUGUGACUGGCCUCAUCAUCAUACCUUUUUAAAACAUGUUUUCUACUAUGUGAGGGUAACAGGAAAGUGGGGGGCACUUUCCAUCCAUUCCCGAACAAUCCCACCUGAUUGUCAAGUGAUCCCUGAAUCUUCUAGACUGUGAAUAAUCUAAUACAAAUUUCCUAUACAGCGUAGCUACACCCUGCCUGGCAUUUCAUGUCACUAUUUCAUGAAGGGCUAUGUUAUCUGAAAUUAUCCAUUUCUUGAUAACAAAAUUUUCAUUUUUCACCUCUUUCACAUGCGUGUGUCCCUGCUUAUCCAUAACUGCCUCCUAUGAAUUAUCAUGUUCCCUCUGUGCUGAGGGAUAACAGCGCAAAGUGAAAAUGUGCUGAAUUCAAUCGAUGAUAGGCCGAGGCCUUGAAAAAGAGAGGCAAACCCAGAUGUCAUGUGUGAAAAUUUCC
rnacentral:lncRNA from 1 species